rnacentral:siRNA from 1 species
AGCCUCUCCCAAAGGUCAUUUCU